ACUCCUACGGGAGGCAGCAGUGGGGAAUUUUGGACAAUGGGCGAAAGCCUGAUCCAGCCAUGCCGCGUGAGUGAAGAAGGCCUUCGGGUUGUAAAGGACUUUUGUUAGGGAGCAAGUCCUGCAGGUUAAGAGCUAGUAGGGAUGAGAGUACCUAAAGAAUAAGCACCGGCUAACUACGUGCCAGCAGCCGCGGUAAU
rnacentral:rRNA from 1 species